CCCUUAGAUGUCCUGGGCUGCACGCGUGCUACAAUGAUACGUGCAACGAGUUAAUCCUGCUCUGAAAGGAGUGGGUAAUCUUAUGAAUGCGUAUCGUGCUUGGGAUUGACCAUUGUAAUUAUUGGUCAUGAACGAGGAAUUCCUAGUAAGCACAAGUCAUCAGCUUGUGCUGAUUACGUCCCUGCCCUUUGUACACACCGCCCGUCGCUACUACCGAUUGAAUGGUUUAGUGAGAUCUUCGGAUUGGCGCCACUGCGGCUCAGCAAUGGGCUCGGUGGAUGCCGAAAAGUUGAUCAAACUUGAUCAUUUAGAGGAAGUAAAAGUCGUAACA
rnacentral:rRNA from 1 species